AUUGAACGCUGGCGGCAGGCUUAACACAUGCAAGUCGAACGAGUGGCGGACGGGCGAGUAAUGCAUGGGAAUCUAGCUUAUGGAGGGGGAUAACUACGGGAAACUGUAGCUAAUACCGCGUACCAUAGGAUGAGCCCAAGUGGGCUUAGGUAGUGGGGGAGGAAAAGGCUCACCAAGCCGACGAUCUCUAGCUGGUCUGAGAGGAUGACCAGCCACACUGGGACUGAGACACGGCCCAGACUCCUACGGGAGGCAGAAGUGGGGAAUAUUGCGCAAUGGGCGAAAGCUGACGCAGCAAUGCCGCGUGAAUGAAGAAGGCCUUCGGGUUGUAAAAUUCUUUCGGUAGAGAGGCGUUAACUAAAGAAGAAGCACCGGCUAACUCCGUGCCAGCAGCCGCGGUAAUAC
rnacentral:rRNA from 1 species